rnacentral:rRNA from 1 species
AACCGCGAAUGGCUCAUUAUAACAGCUAUAAUUUACUUGAUCUUGACACAAUCCUACUUGGAUAACUGUGGUAAUUCUAGAGCUAAUACAUGCAUUAAAGCUCUGACCUCACGGGAAGAGUGCAUUUAUUAGAACAAAACCAAGCGGCUUCGGCUGUUUCUGGUUGACUCAUAGUAACUGAGCUGAUCGCAUGGUCUUGCACCGGCGACGUGUCUUUCAAGUAUCUGCCGUAUCAACUUUCGAUGGUAGUGUAUCUGACUACCAUGGUGAUCACGCGUAACGGAGAAUAAGGGUUCGGCUCCGGAGAGUUCGCCUGAGAAAUCGCGAACACAUCUAAGGAAGGCAGCAGGCGCGAAAAUUACCCACUCUCAGCACGAGGAGGUAGUGACGAAAAAUAACGAGACCGUUCUCUUAUGAGGCCGGUCAUCGGAAUGGGUACAAUUUAAACCCUUUAACGAGUAUCUAUGAGAGGGCAAGUCUGGUGCCAGCAGCCGCGGUAAUUCCAGCUCUCAAAGU